UUCCCAAUCUCUCUCUCCAAGGGCCCCACAUCCACCCAUUCAUACUUUUCUCUUCCUCACUCCACACUCUCCCUUCUCACUCACGAUUCUCUCCCUCUUUCUCCCACAAAAGAAAAAUAUCUCUCUUUCUUUUAUUAUUCUGAUUUCUUUCUCUCAAAAACAAAAGCUGCAGAACACUUUCUCUGAAGCUUGUCUGCAACUUCUCUUCUUCCUCCUCACCAUUUUCUUCUUCCCAACAUGUCUGGAACAACAACACCACCACGAGCCAAAACCGCGAGCACCACCACCUCUAUGCCUCCUUCACGCAGCAACCACCACUGUCCAUGUUCUGUUUUUCCUCUCCAUGAGAGCCACCACCAAAACCCUAGCCGCCACCUUUUUCCUCCGAUCUCCGGCGAACCAUUAAGUUUUUGGAGAAACUAACGCCACCACUGAACUCCUCUCAUCAACCGCAACAAAACCCCUUCAUCGAUUCGAUGAUCGGCCACCGUGACUCCGGCGACCGCCGCCGUCUUCUCCGGCGAGUUUUGUUCUGAGAAAGGAGGCCAAUUUCUUGAAGCUCUCAACCUCCUCUUCCUGAAUCCAAGGCUCAAUCAUCAUUAAUAGUUUCAAUGGCCACUGGAGGAAGGGGAGAGCACGACUAGACCAGACCAGAGGAAGAAGUGAAGCUCAGUCCCAGGACCAUGAGACUUGAGGUAGAAGGAGAAAGAUUUGAACACUGUGUUUAGAAAUUAUAUGUUAAUAGAAAAAAAAAAUAUAGUGGUAGUAUUUUGGGCUUAUCCUUGUAUUAAUUAGUUAUGAUGGAAAAUGAUAUUGUUGGUGUCUAUAUUGGUAUUGUUAUUCUAAAAAUAAAACCAUAUGUUAAAGUUGAAGUAAAUGUUUUGAAGGUUACACUUAGGUUAUUUUGGCUGAUGAGAUCAAUGGAGUUAUAUUGAAAAUAAAUAAUUAAAAAUUUCAAUCCUUUGUGUAAUUUUGCCAUGAUUCAUGGUUAUUUAGGGCUGUCCCUUGUUAAAUAGAAUUUGGAUUUUUCACUGGACUUUUUCUGUCAAAAUGGUCUCUCACGUAAGCCUUGUAGUUUGUUGGACCAUCCUCCCCAAUUUUGAUGUAUUUCAACUCCAAUUUCGUUAGCCAUUAUUUCUAGUUACCUAAUAUGCUAAUGUACAAUGACUAAUACUCCUUUUUGGGGUCAUCUAGUUUUAACUUAAAAUAUCAUUCUCUUUUAACAAAUAAUGGCCUUGCCUAGACACUAGACAGUUUGAUAUAGCACUUGUGAAAAUACAACAAUUGAUGAAUGUAGCAAAAAUACAUUAAAAUAAGAAUAGUUCUUUGCAACUUUUAGUUCACGUUUUCAUUACUCUUGGUUUUGAUUGAAGACCUAAGUUUUAAAAGUCAAGCAAUUAGAAUCACUUAAGUUUUUGACAAUAAUUUUCUAUUGUGAUUCCCACACUUAAGAUUAUAAAUUUUCUUUAUUUCUAGUGAGCUAUUUUGUAUCACGAAAAUUGGGACAGCUAUACCUUUAAAGUUGAGUUUGGAAAUGCUUUUGCCUAAAGUGAGUUUGAAUUUGGGACUAGCUUCUCCUAGAUUAUUAUUUCUACGCCUUUAUCACCUACAUGAAGUUUCCUUACAUGAAGUUUCCUUCCAAUUUUAAUGAUAACCAUUUUAAUUGCUCUAGUUGUAUAAUCCUUUGGGGAUUCAAUGUUUAAAUAAUUAUAAAUAAAAGUUUAUCCUCUUGUUAAUUAAAUGAUGUAGGUGACUAUAUGUCUAGUAUUUCUCGUGGCACCAAAAUAGAAUUUCAAAGAAAGGUAUUAUUCUAUGUGUGUGUGUGAUUGUAUAAAAUAAAGGAAAAGAUUUAUUGUGAGAUGCUAUGUAAUUAAUUAAAUUGAAAGAGACUCAUUUGUAUGAUAUUGUGAAAAGACCUCAAUGAGUAUCCUAAUAGAGACUGAGAACUCUAAGGAAAACUAGAGGAGUAAAUACUAGUUAUGUAUACUUUUCUAUUUUAAAGAUAUCAGUAUUUGGUUUUAAAGUCGACUUACUAAGUCAAAAGUUUUUUUGAAGUAUUGAAUAUUGUUACUAUUUUGUUGUUAUUAUAACGACUUGUCUGAAUUUCUGAGUUUUAUCCUAAUGGGUUAUAGCCAUUAUGGGGAUUAGGUUUAACAUACGUUCGCUUCGAGUCAAAUGCCUGAAGUCAUAGUUUAGACUUUAAGUCAGUAGGUUAACUCGAAUAGUAAUUACGUUAUGGGUACUCAUGAAGGGUACGAAUGACGGGAGCGCAUGACGACGAAGCUAAAGAAUAAAAGGGAGCGAACCGACACGGGAAAGCAAAGAUGUGUUGGGAGUGAAAUUGCAGUUAGUAUGAGAAUUGGCUAAGAUGAAUAUUGCGGACUGGUUCACCAUGGUCCACCCUUCGGGGGGGAUUAGGUACGAGAUGAUAGAUCAGGACGACCCCGGGUCGUGGGUGGUUGACCCCGCGAGCCACCGAGCGACGUAUUCGGGGCGCAUCAUGGAGGACCACGUGGACAGUGGAGGACUCUUGAGGUCAGGAGUGUUGAGGCGAUGCUCUAUCAGCUUCAACUUGCCACCGGGCGUUCACUGCGGACCAGGAUUCGGAGGAGCACCGCCGCCACCGUCAUCUUCAGAGGAGGAGGAUCCCUCAGAGGAGAUUCCAGUGGGAGUGCCUUCGGCAGGGUCUAGUGCACCCUCUGUUGCGAUCAUUGAUGAUCAGGGUUCGGGCCCUAAGCCCGUGAGUCCAGCAUCGGAGCGCACUGUGGUUGCGAGGGGAGGACGGAUAGGGCUGGUAGACUUGGUCGUUCUGGAUUCUGAUUCAGACGACGAUCAUGCUAGCACAUAGUUUUGAGUGUUGGUAUGAGCUCCUCGAGUUAGGAUUAGUGUAGGAGUAGAGUUUUAGCUCUGACAGUCUUGCUUCAUUUGUUACUUAGGGGACAGGGUAGAUCCGCCUAUAGCUUUUUGUGUGGUUUCCUUACGGGAAUCACAGAGAGUUGGUUGGACUUAGG